GAGGUGGUAACAGUAACUCGACUCGACAAUAACAUGUCAGGCUACAUGACACCACCCUGA
ensembl:miRNA ipu-mir-7571 ipu-mir-7571